GGGGUAUAGCUCAGUAGUAGAGCAUUCGACUGCAGAUCGAGAGGUCCCUAAUUCAACUGGUGCCCUUCUUCA